GGGGGCCCCCGUCUUACCCAGCAGUGUUUGGGUGCUGGUUGGGAGUCUCUAAUACUGCCGGGUAAUGAUGGAGGCCCCC
rnacentral:pre_miRNA from 2 species